rnacentral:rRNA from 1 species
CCUACGGGAGGCAGCAGUGGGGAAUUUUGGACAAUGGGCGCAAGCCUGAUCCAGCAAUGCCGCGUGAGUGAAGAAGGCCUUCGGGUUGUAAAGCUCUUUUGUCAGGGAAGAAACGGUCUACUCUAAUACAGUGGGCUAAUGACGGUACCUGAAGAAUAAGCACCGGCUAACUACGUGCCAGCAGCCGCGGUAAUACGUAGGGUGCAAGCGUUAAUCGGAAUUACUGGGCGUAAAGCGUGCGCAGGCGGUUAUAUAAGUCAGAUGUGAAAUCCCCGGGCUCAACCUGGGAACUGCAUUUGAGACUGUAUGGCUAGAGUGUGUCAGAGGGGGGUAGAAUUCCACGUGUAGCAGUGAAAUGCGUAGAUAUGUGGAGGAAUACCGAUGGCGAAGGCAGCCCCCUGGGAUAACACUGACGCUCAUGCACGAAAGCGUGGGGAGCAAACAGGAUUAGAUACCCUGGUAGUCCACGCCCUAAACGAUGUCUACUAGUUGUCGGGACUUAAUUGUCUUGGUAACGCAGCUAACGCGUGAAGUAGACCGCCUGGGGAGUACGGUCGCAAGAUUAAAACUUAAAGGAAUUGACGG